rnacentral:rRNA from 1 species
UCGGAAUCACUGGGCGUAAAGGGUGCGUAGGCGGGUCUUUAAGUCAGAGGUGAAAGCCUGGAGCUCAACUCCAGAACUGCCUUUGAUACUGAGGAUCUUGAGUUCGGGAGAGGUGAGUGGAACUGCGAGUGUAGAGGUGAAAUUCGUAGAUAUUCGCAAGAACACCAGUGGCGAAGGCGGCUCACUGGCCCGAUACUGACGCUGAGGCACGAAAGCGCGGGGAGC